rnacentral:rRNA from 1 species
GACGAACGCUGGCGGCGUGCUUAACACAUGCCAGUCGAACGGAAAGGCCCCUUUGGGGGUACUCGAGUGGCGAACGGGUGAGUAACACGUGCGUAACCUGCCCUUGACUUCGGGAUAACUUCAGGAAACUGGGGCUAAUACCGGAUAGGAAUCCUUGCUGCAUGGUGGGGGUUGGAAAGCUUCGGCGGUUUUGGAUGGACUCGCGGCUUAUCAGCUUGUUGGUGGGGUAGUGGCUUACCAAGGCUUUGACGGGUAGCCGGCCUGAGAGGGCGACCGGCCACAUUGGGACUGAGAUACGGCCCAGACUCCUACGGGAGGCAGCAGUGGGGAAUAUUGCACAAUGGGCGGAAGCCUGAUGCAGCAACGCCGCGUGCGGGAUGACGGCCUUCGGGUUGUAAACCGCGUUCAGCAGGGGCGAAGCUUGUGGUGACGGUACCUGCAGAAGAAGCACCGGCUAACUACGUG